rnacentral:tRNA from 1 species
GGUCCUGUAGCGCAGAGGCAGACGCGCCGACCUGCAGAGUCGGAGGACGCCGGUUCGAUUCCGGCCGGGACCACCA